CGCAGUUUAUGUGGGCUUUAUCAAUGAGUAGUGGCUCUCUCUUGUAGAAUUAUUUUAAGAGUUUAAAACAACAGUGCUUGAGAACUUGCAGAAAUAUUUAAUUGCAAGACUUUGAACAUUUUGAGUAAUUUUUCAAAAAAGGUAGGAGGUGGAUGAACAGGCAAUGCGCAGAGAUUGGGAGACAAGCCCUGCAGAUGGGGUUUCUAGGGCCACCAUAGUUCCAUCUGUGCAGAGACAUUUCAAAAUCUGGAAGUUGUAUCACGAAGCAAAUUGA
rnacentral:lncRNA from 11 species